rnacentral:misc_RNA from 1 species
GAUAAGAACGCAGCGAAAUGCGAUAAGUAAUGUGAAUUGCAGAAUCCAGUGAAUCAUCGAAUCUUUGAACGCACAUUGCGCCCGCCAGCAUUCUGGCGGGCAUGCCUGUUCGAGCGUCAUUUCAACCCUCGACCUCCCUUUGGGGAAGUCGGCGUUGGGGACCGGCAGCACACCGCCGGCCCUGAAAUGGAGUGGCGGCCCGUCCGCGGCGACCUCUGCGUAGUAAACCAACUCGCACCGGAACCCCGACGUGGCCACGCCGUAAAACACCCAACUUCUGAACGUUGACCUCGAAUCAGGUAGGACUACCCGCUGAACUUAAGCAUAUCAAUAAGCGGAGGA